CUUCUGGAUCUUGGCUCUGAUCGUCUCAUCAUCUCUGAUCCUGAGGGUCUCCAGUCUGCAGUCUGGACUCUCCAGAAGAUCUCCCAGCAGCUCCUCUCCUGA